UUCACCUUUUAGAAUCAACAUUCAAGAGAAAGUUUAUGAAUAAUAAGCAGGGAUCAUUCUUGGACAAAUGUGGUGCAGAAAGAAAUUUUAUUUAGAUGCUGAUUUCAGGCACAGAAGAAAAGUGAAGUUGACUACAAGUUGCUGAUCGUGAAGAGAUAAAGGUAUUUAGUUGACAGUGAUGGUCUCCUGAAUCCAGUCCAGCCUCUGUGUUUUAGAAAUAGAAAUAUGAAGAAGAUUGAGACUAAGCUUCUGGGGAAGGGCAUAAAGAAACUCACCUGGCAAGAGUCCUUUCCACCUUCCAUGAAGCCCAACCAGAACAUGUUGCUAGUGAUCUGACCUGGGCAGACCUCAUGACAAGCAGUGUCAGGACAGGAGCAUACAGGCACUGCAGGAGAGAAGGCAACCUGACUAUUGAGUGAGAAACUUACCAUCAAAGCUCGGGGUGUUGCCCCAGCCAGACAUGAGGCACUGAACACCAGUUGAAGGACAGGAUCUUGGCAGACACUGGAGAACUGAUAGUGGCAG
rnacentral:lncRNA from 1 species